UACGUAGGGGGCGAGCGUUGUCCGGAUUUAUUGGGCGUAAAGAGCUCGUAGGCGGCUUGGCAAGUCGGGUGUGAAACCUCCAGGCUCAACCUGGAGACGCCACUCGAUACUGCCAUGGCUAGAGUCCGGUAGGGGACCACGGAAUUCAUGGUGUAGCAGUGAAAUGCGUAGAGAUCAUGAGGAAGACCAGUGGCGAAGGCGGGUCUCUGGACAGUUCCUGACACUGAGGCACGAAGGCCAGGGGAGCAAACGGG
rnacentral:rRNA from 1 species